rnacentral:rRNA from 1 species
CAGCAGCCGCGGUAACACGUAGGUGGCAAGCGUUGUCCGGAAUUAUUGGGCGUAAAGCGCGCGCAGGCGGAUAGGUCAGUCUGUCUUAAAAGUUCGGGGCUUAACCCCGUGAUGAGAUGGAAACUGCCAAUCUAGAGUAUCGGAGAGGAAAGUGGAAUUCCUAGUGUAGCGGUGAAAUGCGUAGAUAUUAGGAAGAACACCAGUGGCGAAGGCGACUUUCUGGACGAAAACUGACGCUGAGGCGCGAAAGCCAGGGGAGCGAACGGGAUUAGAUACCCGGGUAGUCCCUGUCUCUUAUACC